ACAGCCACCCCACAUAACGCUGGCAGACAAAACAAGACAGGAUAGGACAAAGGGGUGCUGCAAGGAGCCUCUGUACAACCACUUCAUGCUUUUCUGAUGCAAAAUUCAAUGGGAUGGCAGAAAAAUUGCCCAGUAUGCCCUGGCUGGCCUGGGUUGGGCGGGGAGGGGAGGAGGAGGAGGAGAAAGGCCGAGGGGCUGCCCAAGCACAACAGCCUGAAGAAGUGGAAACAGUCCAGCCACUGCAGACAGAUCCACUUGGGGAACUGCCAGAGGAGGAGCACACCCAUGGACUCUUCUACAGAUGCACACAGAUGUUUUCAGACUU